rnacentral:rRNA from 1 species
GACGAACGCUGGCGGCGUGCUUAACACAUGCAAGUCGAACGGAAAGGCCCUGCUUUUGUGGGGUGCUCGAGUGGCGAACGGGUGAGUAACACGUUAGUAACCUGCCCUUGACUUUGUGAUAACUUCAGGAAACUGGGGCUAAUACCGGAUAGGAGCUCCUGCUGCAUUGUUUUGUUUGGAAAUUUUCGGCGGUUGGGGAUGGACUCGCGGCUUAUCAGCUUGUUGGUGGGGUAGUGGCUUACCAAGGCUUUGACGGGUAGCCGGCCUGAGAGGGUGACCGGACAAAAUGGGACUGAGAUACGGACCAGAGUAGAACGGGAGGCAGAAGGGGGGAAUAUGGCAGAAUGGGAGGAAGCAUGAUGCAGAAAAGCGGCGAGCGGGAUGACGGCAUUCGGGGUGUAAAAAGAUUUCGAAUGUGACGAAGCGUGAGUGACGGUAAUGGGUAAAGAAGCAACGGCUAAAUACGUG